UGAAGGGCCGCGGUAUUUUGACCGUGCAAAGGUAGCAUAAUCAUUAGUUCUUUAAUUGUGAUCUGGAAUGAAUGGCUUGACGAGACACGAGCUGUCUUAGUUGAUGAAUGUUCUAUUGAAUUUGGUUUUUGAGUUAAAAUUCUUAGAUGUUUUUAUGGGACGAGAAGACCCUAUAGAGUUUAACGUUUAGGUUUGUUUUAUGUUUGUUGUUUGUUUUGUUUGAUUAAUUGGGCCAUGCGUUUUGUUGGGGCGAUGAGAGGGAUAUAGCUUAACUCCUCUUUAUUUUGGUUAUAUUGAUAUAUAGUUGCUUGAUCCAUUGAUUUUGAUUAUAAGAUUAAAUUACCU
rnacentral:rRNA from 1 species